AUUGAACGCUGGCGGAAUGCUUUACACAUGCAAGUCGAACGGCAGCACGGACUUCGGUCUGGUGGCGAGUGGCGAACGGGUGAGUAACAUAUCGGAACGUAUCCAAUAAUGGGGGAUAACGAGUCGAAAGAUUCGCUAAUACCGCAUACGCCCUACGGGGAAAGCUGGGGACCUUCGGGCCUGGCGUUAAUGGAGCGGCCGAUAUCUGAUUAGCUAGUUGGUGAGGUAAAGGCUCACCAAGGCGACGAUCAGUAGCUGGUCUGAGAGGACGACCAGCCACACUGGAACUGAGACACGGUCCAGACUCCUACGGGAGGCAGCAGUGGGGAAUUUUGGACAAUGGGCGCAAGCCUGAUUCAGCCAUUCCGCGUGAGUGAAGAAGGCCUUCGGGUUGUAAAGCUCUUUCGCAAGGGAAGAAAACUUAGCCACUAACAUUGGUUGAGGUUGACGGUACCUUGAUAAGAAGCACCGGCUAACUACGUGCCAGCAGCCGCCGUAA
rnacentral:rRNA from 1 species